UUAACUCAAAUUUGUAUUGAGUUGGAACGCUUGCUUAUGUUUGCCGCUAGGGGCGCUGUUCCAACUGCAGACUUCGUA
rnacentral:pre_miRNA from 1 species